UACGAGGGGCGCAGCGUUAUCCGGAAUUAUUGGGCGUAAAGAGCUCGUAGGCGGUUUGUCGCGUCUGCCGUGAAAGUCCGGGGCUCAACUCCGGAUCUGCGGUGGGUACGGGCAGACUAGAGUGAUGUAGGGGAGACUGGAAUUCCUGGCGUAGCGGUGAAAUGCGCAGAUAUCAGGAGGAACACCGAUGGCGAAGGCAGGUCUCUGGGCAUUAACUGACGCUGAGGAGCGAAAGCAUGGGGAGCGAACAGG
rnacentral:rRNA from 1 species